rnacentral:tRNA from 1 species
GCGCUUGUGCUGGAAUAGGCAGACAGGCUUGGUUGAGGGCCAAGUGCCGCAAGGCGUGUGGGUUCGACUCCCACCAAGCGCA